rnacentral:rRNA from 1 species
GGGGAAUCUUCCGCAAUGGGCGCAAGCCUGACGGAGCAACGCCGCGUGAGUGAUGAAGGCUUUCGGGUCGUAAACUCUGUCUUUAGGGAAGAGGUCUUGAAUGCCAACAGUAUUCAAGGUGACGGUACCUAAGGAGGAAGCUCCGGCUAACUACGUGCCAGCAGCCGCGGUAAUACGUAGGGAGCAAGCGUUGUCCGGAAUUACUGGGCGUAAAGAGCGUGUAGGCGGCUCAUUAAGUCAGAUGUGAAAACUCAAGGCUCAACCUUGAGAUUGCAUCUGAAACUGGGGAGCUUGAGUGCAGGAGAGGGAAGUGGAAUUCCUAGUGUAGCGGUGAAAUGCGUAGAUAUUAGGAGGAACACCAGUGGCGAAGGCGACUUCCUGGCCUGUAACUGACGCUGAGACGCGAAAGCGUGGGGAGCAAAC